AUAGGGGAGAAGGGAUUGAACCAACAUCAAAAAACUCAAAAUCUCACGCAUUCCAUUAUGCUACCCCCUA
rnacentral:tRNA from 2 species